UACGAAGGGGGCUAGCGUUGCUCGGAAUCACUGGGCGUAAAGGGUGCGUAGGCGGGUCUUUAAGUCAGGGGUGAAAUCCUGGAGCUCAACUCCAGAACUGCCUUUGAUACUGAGGAUCUUGAGUUCGGGAGAGGUGAGUGGAACUGCGAGUGUAGAGGUGAAAUUCGUAGAUAUUCGCAAGAACACCAGUGGCGAAGGCGGCUCACUGGUCCGGAUCUGACGCUGAGGCGCGAAAGCGUGGGGAGCAAACAGG
rnacentral:rRNA from 1 species